rnacentral:rRNA from 1 species
UACAGAGGUCCCAAGCGUUGUUCGGAUUCAUUGGGCGUAAAGGGUGCGUAGGCGGCGCGGUAAGUCGGGUGUGAAAUCUCGGAGCUUAACUCCGAAACUGCAUACGAUACUGCCGUGCUUGAGGACUGGAGAGGAGACUGGAAUUUACGGUGUAGCGGUGAAAUGCGUAGAUAUCGUAAGGAAGACCAGUGGCGAAGGCGGGUCUCUGGACAGUUCCUGACGCUGAGGCACGAAGGCCAGGGGAGCAAACGGG